rfam:Fukomys damarensis contig91458, whole genome shotgun sequence.
AUCAUAAACAAGUUAGGAGCAUGAUGAUUGGGUGUUGGUGCCAUAUUUGUGAGAUGUGCCUCCCUUAAACCUCAUUACAAUGUUGGCACAUUACCAUCUGAUG